rnacentral:rRNA from 1 species
AUUGAACGCUGGCGGCAUGCUUUACACAUGCAAGUCGGACGAGUGGCGAACGGGUGAGUAACGCAUCGGAACGUACCGAGUAAUGGGGGAUAACUGUCCGAAAGGACAGCUAAUACCGCAUACUAUUCGAUCGGCCGAUGUCGGAUUAGCUGGUUGGUGGGGUAAAGGCUCACCAAGGCGACGAUCAGUAGCGGGUCUGAGAGGAUGAUCAGCCACACUGGAACUGAGACACGGCCCAGACUCCUACGGGAGGCAGCAGUGGGGAAUUUUGGACAAUGGGCGCAAGCCUGAUGCAGCCAUGCCGCGUGUAUGAAGAAGGCCUUCGGGUUGUAAAGGACUUUCGGCAGGGAAGCGGUACCUGAAGAAGAAGCACCGGCUAACUACGUGCCAGCAGCCGCGGUAAUAC